rnacentral:rRNA from 1 species
GAGAACCUGCACACAGGUGCUGCAUGGCUGUCGUCAGCUCGUGUCGUGAGAUGUUGGGUUAAGUCCCGCAACGAGCGCAACCCUUGCCAUUAGUUGCUACGAAAGGGCACUCUAAUGGGACUGCCGGUGACAAACCGGAGGAAGGUGGGGAUGACGUCAAGUCCUCAUGGCCCUUAUAGUGGGGCUACACACGUCAUACAAUGGCCGGUACAGAGGGUAGCCAACCCGCGAGGGGGAGCCAAUCCCACAAAGCCGGUCGUAGUCCGGAUCGCAGUCUGCAACUCGACUGCGUGAAGUCGGAAUCGCUAGUAAUCGCGGAUCAGCAUGUCGCGGUGAAUACGUUCCCGGGUCUU